CGGCGGGCGGGCGGGCGCGCGGGUGUCCCCGGGCGCGGAGGAAGAACUUGGAAAGAUGUCUGUGUUCUGCAAUGUGAAAGCUGAGUCCAGAGAGCAUUUAAAGGAAAACAAUUGCAGACAACAAAUAAUUGCUCACCCUCCUCCAAUCGUUGGAAGUAAUAUUCCUAUCAGACAAACACAGCCAUGCAAUCCCAGAAUGACAAGAUAAACAAUUGGAUGCAGAAAUGAAAAGGUGCCUGAAAGAAUACAUARAGAUUUUGAAACAAGAAGUGUGAAAUAAAUCCUUCUGCCCCGGGUCCCUGACUGUGCAAUAUCAUAUGUAAAAUACAUGAUGUCAGCACAACUGUGUUUGCAACUGUCAUCUGAUUCAAACUUUCUAAGAAUUAACUCUGGGGC